UACGUAGGGUGCGAGCGUUAAUCGGAAUUACUGGGCGUAAAGCGUGCGCAGGCGGUUUUGUAAGCCCGAUGUGAAAUCCCCGGGCUUAACCUGGGAACUGCAUUUGGGACUGCAAGGCUUGAGUGCGGCAGAGGAGACUGGAAUUCCUGGUGUAGCAGUGAAAUGCGUAGAUAUCAGGAGGAAUACCGAUGGCGAAGGCAGGUCUCUGGGCUGACACUGACGCUCAUGCACGAAAGCGUGGGGAGCAAACAGG
rnacentral:rRNA from 1 species